AUGCGCGCGGCCACGGUGGCACCAGGCCCCGGACGCGCGCCCGGAGGUGCCGGAUGCGGGUCCGCGACCGGGAGCGAGUCUUCCCAAGCGCGGCCGGGGGCAUCUGUGGCGGAAGCGCCGGCGGCUUCUCUGGUGACCGCUCGCUCCAACGGCGCCAGCCCCUGCGCGGGGCGGGACGGGACGCGCCGCCCCCGGGACCGCCGGGGCGGGCAGCGGCCAGGACCGGCCCCGCGGCCACCGGCGGCAGCGACGCUGGCGGGACCCUUCGCAGGACGUGUGCGGUACGGGGCGGCCGGGCACCGCGGGAUCCCGCUGGGUUUUGGGGGGGGGGGGGGGCAUCCGUGCUGCCGGCCGGGGCGAUGGGGGGGGUCGGAGCAGGACUCCUCGGGAUCAGGCUGGAGCUGUGGGUCCAAGCGGGCACGGGGGGGAUUCUGGCCCCCCCCCCCCGGGCUCCCCGUGGUGCCGCAGGGGCCCCGAUGCCGCUGCCUGGGCACGGUGGGUUCUCCCGCUCCCAAAACACCUGGAGGAGCUGCUGGGACGCGGGCUGAAGCCUGCCCCGCCGGUGCCCCCCCCCCUCACCGGUGGUGGGGGGCACCUGGUGCAGGGCCGAGUGCCCCUCUCUGCCCCCCCCCCCGGCCCCAUCCGCGUGGGAGCCGCUCUGCCCCGCUGCCGUCCCGGGCGCCGUCUUCUCCACCCGGGAUGCGGGAGCCGGCAGCGACCCACCCGCGGGGCUGCUCGGGGGCCCGGAGGGGCUGGAAGGCGAAUCGAGGGGCUCCGCCGGGAGCUGCUCCUGGCGGGACGAGCGCGGACGAGGUGGCUUCUCCGGCAGAGGRCUGGUGCGCGCACCGGCCGGCCGGCGCUGCCGUAAGGCGCUGCCGGUGUUUGUGCCAAAUGCCGGCGCAGGGUGUGUUCGCGCGGAGCCCGGGGGAACGGGUGACACACAGAGGUGCGUUUGUUAAGGCAGCGGCGGAGCCGACGGGCGGCCGCGCGCGCGCCCAGGUGAGCGUUUGCCUUGGCAAGGGAGCCGCAGCUCGUCGGGGCCCCUUUGAUUCGGGCCGAGAGUUUCCAGCGGGGCCGAGCGCGGACGUAAUGCGGUUUAACUGA
rnacentral:lncRNA from 1 species